CAGUCGAACGGGAAACCUUUUAUUGAAGCUUCGGCAGAUUUAACUGGUUUCUAGUGGCGGACGGGUGAGUAACGCGUGGGUAACCUGCCUUGUACAGGGGGAUAACAGUCAGAAAUGACUGCUAAUACCGCAUAAGCGCACAGGACCGCAUGGUCCGGUGUGAAAAACUCCGGUGGUAUAAGAUGGACCCGCGUUGGAUUAGCUUGUUGGCAGGGUAACGGCCUACCAAGGCAACGAUCCAUAGCCGGCCUGAGAGGGUGAACGGCCACAUUGGGACUGAGACACGGCCCAGACUCCUACGGGAGGCAGCAGUGGGGAAUAUUGCACAAUGGGGGAAACCCUGAUGCAGCGACGCCGCGUGAAGGAAGAAGUAUCUCGGUAUGUAAACUUCUAUCAGCAGGGAAGAAAAUGACGGUACCUGACUAAGAAGCCCCGGCUAACUACGUGCCAGCAGCCGCGGUAAUACGUAGGGGGCAAGCGUUAUCCGGAUUUACUGGGUGUAAAGGGAGCGUAGACGGAUGGACAAGUCUGAUGUGAAAGGCUGGGGCUCAACCCCGGGACUGCAUUGGAAACUGCCCGUCUUGAGUGCCGGAGAGGUAAGCGGAAUUCCUAGUGUAGCGGUGAAAUGCGUAGAUAUUAGGAGGAACACCAGUGGCGAAGGCGGCUUACUGGACGGUAACUGACGUUGAG
rnacentral:rRNA from 1 species